rnacentral:rRNA from 1 species
UCGAUGAAGAACGCAGCGAAAUGCGAUAAGUAAUGUGAAUUGCAGAAUUCAGUGAAUCAUCGAAUCUUUGAACGCACCUUGCGCCCUUUGGUAUUCCGAAGGGCAUGCCUGUUUGAGUGUUAUUAAAUUCUCAACCUUUUGAACGCUUUAUUGCGCUCACUAGGCUUGGAUGUGAGGGUUUUGCUGGCUUCCUUCAGUGGCGGUCUGCUCCCUUUAAAUGCAUUAGUGGGAUCCUUUGUGGAUCGGUUCACUUGGUGUGAUAAUAUAUCUACGCCGCUUGUACUGCGAAGCAAAACUUAUGGGAACCUGCUUAUAACCGUCUAGCAAUAGACAACUUUUGAACCUUUAACCUCAAAUCAGGUAGGACUACCCGCUGAACUUAA